rnacentral:rRNA from 1 species
UACAGAGGGUGCGAGCGUUAAUCGGAAUUACUGGGCGUAAAGCGCGCGUAGGCGGUUAUGUAAGUUGGAUGUGAAAUCCCUGGGCUUAACCUGGGCACUGCAUUCAAAACUGCAUAGCUAGAGUAUGGGAGAGGAUGGUAGAAUUCCAGGUGUAGCGGUGAAAUGCGUAGAGAUCUGGAGGAAUACCGAUGGCGAAGGCAGCCAUCUGGCCUAAUACUGACGCUGAGGUGCGAAAGCAUGGGGAGCAAACAGG